UACGGGGGAGCAAGCGUUGUUCGGAUUUACUGGGCGUAAAGGGCGCGUAGGCGGCCAGCACAAGUCAGUUGUGAAAUCUCCGGGCUUAACUCGGAAAGGUCAACUGAUACUGUGCGGCUAGAGUGCAGAAGGGGCAACUGGAAUUCUUGGUGUAGCGGUGAAAUGCGUAGAUAUCAAGAGGAACACCUGCGGCGAAGGCGGGUUGCUGGGCUGACACUGACGCUGAGGCGCGAAAGCUAGGGGAGCGAACGGG
rnacentral:rRNA from 1 species